rnacentral:rRNA from 1 species
CUUUGCGGUGAUAGGCAUCGUGAAUGCACCAGUUUCAUAUGGUUCACUGAAGUUAAGGAACGUUGUGUGUGAUUUGUAUCAGGAUGGGUGACCAUCUGGGCAAUCGGGUACUGCUGGUU